rnacentral:tRNA from 1 species
AAGAUUUUAAGUUAAAAUCAAACUGCUAACCUUCAAAGUUAAAAUUACUUUAAAUUUAAGUAAAUCUUA